AGAGUUUGAUCCUGGCUCAGGAUGAACGCUGGCGGUAUGCUUAACACAUGCAAGUCGAACGGUGUCUUCGGACAUAGUGGCGGACGGGUGAGUAACGCGUGAGAAUCUGCCUUCAGGUUGGGGACAACAGCUGGAAACGGCUGCUAAUACCCAAUGUGCCGAGAGGUGAAAGCUUUAGUGCCUGAAGAUGAGCUCGCGUCUGAUUAGCUAGUUGGAGUGGUAACGGCACACCAAGGCAACGAUCAGUAGCUGGUCUGAGAGGAUGAUCAGCCACACUGGGACUGAGACACGGCCCAGACUCCUACGGGAGGCAGCAGUGGGGAAUUUUCCGCAAUGGGCGAAAGCCUGACGGAGCAAUACCGCGUGAGGGAGGAAGGCUCUUGGGUUGUAAACCUCUUUUGUCAGGGAAGAAGAUCUGACGGUACCUGACGAAUCAGCAUCGGCUAACUCCGUGCCAGCAGCCGCGGUAAUACGGGGGAUGCAAGCGUUAUCCGGAAUUAUUGGGCGUAAAGCGUCUGUAGGUGGUUGUUCAAGUCUGUUGUCAAAGCAUGGAGCUUAACUCCAUAUAGGCAAUGGAAACUGAGCUACUAGAGUACGGUAGGGGUCGCGGGAAUUCCCAGUGUAGCGGUGAAAUGCGUAGAUAUUGGGAAGAACACCAGUGGCGGAAGCGCGCGGCUGGACCUGUACUGACACUGAGGGACGAAAGCUAGGGGAGCGAAAGGGAUUAGAUACCCCAGUAGUCC
rnacentral:rRNA from 1 species